UCAUGUCUGCAGAAAUUAUAUAUAACUUUUUAUUAACAGUUAUAAACAAGUUAUAAACAAGUAGAUAUUUGUUCAAUCUUGCACUUUAACUGUUACUCAUACGCCAAACGUUUAAAUUACAUUAUUAUUACAGGUUAUGUUUACGUUUGCACAAUAGAAAUGAUGUGUAAUAACAGUAAUCACUGGAACGUUGUUUAAUUAAUGAGAAAUUAGUAACUUCAUAUUUAACGUCAUAAUUUAUAAUAAAACAGUUUAUUUGAAUUUCCAUUCAUGUAUAUAAGUUGAUAAGAAUACACACAAUGAAUUUUAGGAAGAUUACUUGAUGUCUAACGAGACGUCACGGGGGUAAGACGGGUAUUUCCCUGUGUGUUUUGUUUGUAGUUUUGAUUGGUUAUGUGUAAUCGUAUUGACGAAUAGUAAAUUAGCACCACAAGAAGGAUGAGAACUGACCAAUCAGACCCACAUUCCUCAGCCUAGCCGUCAAGUGAUCUCCCAGCAGUACUUAUCAACUAUAAUCGCAAAUAACACAAUGAUGUUCUUAUAAUUUUUCAACCGUACAAUCGCGCUAACGUGAUUCGCUUUAGAUUGGUUGAUUACUUGACCUUCUGCACGGUAAAGUGGCAACUCACGUCGGAUAGGUAUGUGGUAUUAAAAAAUCGCCCGACGAUGCGCAGUCGAAGUUUAAUGCGGAACUGCCACUUUCUGAACUCAGAUGCGCCAAGUGCCAAUCAGUGUUUUCCAGAAAGAUGUCGCUUAAUGUGAAUUCUGAAGAUACUGAUUGGUUAAUGCGCAUUUUUUCUCGUGAACAACCUGUAAUAAGUACCAAUCUCGGGAAGCCCCUAGAGCAGAGCUGUCUAACUUACUCUCCUCACACUAGUAACUUGAAAACAGCGUCCCCCUACUACUUCUACUUAACACGUUCGCUAUCAGCGCUUAUUUCGGAUUACGGCCGUCACAAAUGUGUGACGCUGGGCGAACAUGUCACAGAGCUGCCCGAGACUGCGUAUUGAAAAACUUCAGACUUCAAAGGGUUUGUAGCGGCUAACAAGCACGACAUAAAGAAACAUUUGGCGUGCAAACAGCUAGUAUGGUUUAUGACAAGCAGACGGCCUCAGUAGCAAAUUGCAGAUGUUAUAAACCAUGAAUUUUCGAAGGGAUGCAAGGCAUGGUCAAGCGAUCCUCGGCGAGUGACGUCACGAGGCUUGGGCGCGGAGGAAAUACCGCUGCGUUGCCAAACUUCCACUAAGGAAUACUCCCCACCAAAGCGCACUGUCUUUCCACAAAGAACGCGCUAAGGGCGCAAGGAAUAGGCGGUGAUUGAAAAUCAUCGGAAGUACCUGAUUGGUUAACGCCAAUGUGCUGUUUAACCAAUUAGGGAAAAUUCACCAUUUUGCCCUAUGUGAAGCAGGGAUAAAAAGACACUCGUAGUCAGUCGUAGUCAGUCGUAGUCAGUCGUAGUCAGUCGUAGUCAGUCGUAGUCAGUCGU